rnacentral:rRNA from 1 species
GUGAGGAAUAUUGGUCAAUGGACGGAAGUCUGAACCAGCCAUGCCGCGUGCAGGAAUAAGGUCCUAUGGAUUGUAAACUGCUUUUAUUCGGGAAUAAACCUCUUUACGUGUAGGGAGCUGAAGGUACCGAAGGAAUAAGCACCGGCUAACUCCGUGCCAGCAGCCGCGGUAAUACGGAGGGUGCAAGCGUUAUCCGGAAUCAUUGGGUUUAAAGGGUCCGCAGGCGGGCUAUCAAGUCAGAGGUGAAAUCCCACAGCUUAACUGUGGAACUGCCUUUGAAACUGAUGGUCUUGAAUUAAGUGGGCGUUGGCGGAAUAUGACAUGUAGCGGUGAAAUGCAUAGAUAUGUCAUGGAACACCGAAAGCGAAGGCAGCUACGAUACUUAUAUUGACGCUCAUGGACGAAAGCGUGGGUAGCGAACAGGAUUAGAAACCCUUGUAGUCC